AGAAGGGAAAAGAAGAAGAAGAAGAAGAAAAAAGGAAAAAUAUAUAAUUUUUUAAUUAAUUAAUAAAUAAUAAUAAUAAUAAAAAAAAUCAAUGAUCCUGCCGCUUCCGCUUCUCCGCCACAACGUUCCUCCGUCGCUGCUCCGCUGCUCUGCCCGGCGGUCGGCUCACCGGCAGGUUCUGGCAUCACUCCGAGGUGAUCAAUGGAAGCUCUCCAACAUCGAUCCAGAGGCGGUGCAGGAGAGGCUGAGUUCAUGGCUGCUGAAAGCUCAGGCUUUGCUCACCGACGUGGCGGCACCGCUGGUGAAGCAGGGGCAGGGGAAGAAAGCUGGAAAAGAGAGUGAUAUGGAGGGAGUGGAUGGAGAGGAAGAGAUUUUUGUGGAUUCUGAGAUGACUGUUGAGAGAAUGACCCCAAAUGGGUGCCUCUCGUUUGCGGCUGCUGUCUCGAUUGAGCAGUUUGGCAGGAUGAAUGGGUUGACAGGAAGGAAGAUGCAGAGGAUUUUCGAGGCAUUGGCACCGGAACAUGCUCAAUUUGAUGCGAGAAGCUUAGUGGAGUAUUGUUGCUUUAGAUAUUUGUCAAGGGAUAGUUCUGAUUUCCACCCCGGCUUGAAGGAUCCUGCAUUCCAGAGACUUAUUUUCCUAACAAUGCUUGCUUGGGAGCAACCUUACAGUACAGGUAGUGAUUUGCAAGUUGAUUCAGAGAAUUCCUCUUUGCAGAGGAGAUUAGUUGGUAAAGAGGCCUUUGUUCGAAUAGCUCCUGCAGUUGCAGGUGUGGCAGACUCAUCAACAGCUCAUCACCUUUUCAAAGCCCUUGCUGGAGCUGAAAAUGGGAUCUCAUUGAGCUUGUGGAUGACAUUUAUUGCUGAACUUUUCAAGGUACAUGAGGGAAGGAAGUCAUACCAAACUAAUGAUGUUAUGCAAAAGGAGCAACUUUUAUGCAUUGGUUCUAGUAGGAAGAGACCUGUUUUAAAAUGGGAGGGUAACAUUGCAUGGCCUGGAAAUCUAACUCUUACAGACAGUGCACUAUAUUUUGAGGCAAUUGGACUGACAGGUGCUAAAAACAUUAUAAGGUUGGAUCUCAAAUGUCAUGGUUCACAAGUCAAGAAAACAAAAGUUGGACCUUUAGGAUCCAAACUUUUUGAUUCAGCUGUCUCUGUUUCAUCAGGGGAACUAUCAGAAACUUGGGUUUUGGAAUUUGUUGAUUUUGGUGGAGAAAUGAGACGGGAAGUUUGGCAUGCUUUCAUUAGUGAGGUUAUUUCUUUAUAUAAGUUCAUACGUGAAUUUGGACCAGUUGAUGGUGAUCCCUUAAUACAUCAAGUAUAUGGUGCUCAAAAAGGUAAAAGCAGAGCCAUUAGAAGUGUGGCAAACAGUAUUGCGCGGUUGCAAUCUCUUCAGUUUAUUCGGAGAUUAGCUGAAGAUCCAGCAAAACUAGUCCAGUUUUCAUACCUAAGGAAUGUACCUUAUGGCGAUGUUGUUCUCCAAACCUUGGCGGUGAACUUUUGGGGUGGGCAACUGAUAAGAAAGUUUAAACAGGAAGGCUACCUGUCUACUCGGUGGGGCAUACCUGAAGAGCUUUCAGUCAGCAAUAUUCAUAUAUUUGAUGUAGAUGGAAGUGUAUACUUGCGCAAGUGGAUGAGAUCUCCAACUUGGGGAACCAGUGCCUCUGUUACAUUCUGGAAGAACACAUCAGUCAAACAAGGGAUCAUAUUGAGCAAGAAUCAUGUUGUCGCUGAUCUGAAUCUUGUGGAAAGGGCUGCAUUAACAUGCAGAGAGAAAAGCUGGAUGGUGGAAAAGACUCAAGCGACUAUUGAUGCUGCUAUGAUCAAGGGCAUUCCAAGCAACAUCGACCUCUUCAAGGAGCUUAUGCUUCCUUGUGUGUUUGUUGUUAAAAACUUCGACAAACUCCGACGAUGGGAGGAGCCACGAUGGACAUUAUCUUUCCUUGUUUUUGCCUAUACUAGUUACAUUCAGGAACCUGCUCCCAUAUGUAUUCCCCUCGACAUUGAUGCUUAUGGGUACUGCCAUGUUAUUUCUAAAGGGACUAAAAGAACAAGGCCGGUUGGGCAGAUCUAUUGGUAAAGUUACAAUACGAGAUCAACCACCAUCCAACACAAUUCAGAAGAUCAUAGCUCUCAAAGAGGCCAUGGCCGACAUGGAGGAUUUUCUCCAAAGGGUUAAUAUCUUUCUUUUAAAGGUCCGAACAAUCAUCUUAGCAGGCCAACCCUGAGAUCACAAGAGAUGUUGCUCUUUUGCUGCUGUGUGGUUCAAUUGUUCUUCUAGUAAUUCCUUUCAAGUACAUCUUCGCCUUUGUCCUCUUCGAUCUCUUCACACGGGAGCUGGAAUUCCGGAAAGAAAUGGUGAUUAGAUUCAUGAACCUUCUAAAGGAACGGUGGGCAUCGGUAUAUGCUGCGCCGGUGAUCGUGUUACCAUAUGAGGAUGAUAAAUCCAACUCUGAAACAACUAUCGUCAAGGAAGGAGAUCAAACCAAUACCGAUAGAAUUCAAAGAAACUCGCCUAAAUCUUGAUGCAAGAAGUGAUAAAUAAACACAGUUUCUCACUAACCUCCGGCUUCUGUCUGCCUUUCAUGUACAGGAUUAGAAGUAGGAAUACUGUCUCUGGUUCAUUGGAAAAACUGAAAAAUGUAUACGAAAAAGACGAGAAUUAUUCUGUAAAACCAAAUAAGCAAUGCAGAGCUUCCUUUGAUGAAUA